rnacentral:rRNA from 1 species
AUUGAACGCUGGCGGCAGGCUUUACACAUGCAAGUCGAACGAGUGGCGGACGGGUGAGUAAUGUAUCGGAACCUGCCCGAUGGCGGGGGAUAACUACUCGAAACGGUGGCUAAUACCGCAUACUAUUGUCUCUGCCACAAUGGGAUUAGCUAGUGGGUGGGUUAACGGCUCACCAAGGCAACGAUCCCUAGCUGGUCUGAGAGGAUGACCAGCCACACUGGAACUGAGACACGGUCCAGACUCCUACGGGAGGCAGCAGUGGGGAAUUUUGCACAAUGGGGGAAAGCCUGAUGCAGCCAUGCCGCGUGUAUGAAGAAGGCCUUCGGGUUGUAAAGUACUUUUGGCAGAGAAGCGUUACCCGCAGAAGAAGCACCGGCUAACUACGUGCCAGCCGCCGCGGUAAUUC